rnacentral:rRNA from 1 species
AUACGGAGGGUGCGAGCGUUAAUCGGAAUUACUGGGCGUAAAGGGCGCGUAGGCGGUUGGUUAAGUGAGAAGUGAAAGCCCUCAGCUCAACUGAGGAACGGCUUCUCAUACUGGCUAACUAGAGAGUGGGAGAGGGAGACGGAAUUCCCGGUGUAGCGGUGAAAUGCGUAGAGAUCGGGAGGAACACCAGUGGCGAAGGCGGUUUCCUGGACCACAACUGACGCUGAGGCGCGAAAGCGUGGGGAGCAAACAGGAUUAGAAACCCCAGUAGUCC